rnacentral:snoRNA from 1 species
AUACCAUGAUGUGGACAUCUUCUCAGUAGUUCUUUAAACCUCUCCUAGGCUUCACAUAAAGAGUCACCAUCAAAUUGUGUGAAUGAGGUGAUUUCGUUCUUCAUCUU